rnacentral:lncRNA from 1 species
GUUGACCUUCCUCAAUGACGCAUAGAUAUUGAGAACAAAUGGAUUCUCAAAGUUAAACAGAAGUCAGAUGGGUCAAUAGUAAGACACAAAGUAUAAUUGGUGGAAAAAUAGUUUACUCAAGAAGCUGAAAUAAAUUAUGAGGAAGAUUUUUAAUCAGUUGUGAAGUUUACCUCAAUUCGCUUACUAUUUACUAUUGUUACACGUUUUGUUUUAGAAUUACACAAAAUAGACAUGAAGACCACUUUUAAUAUUGAUAAAUUUACAUAAAACAACCUGUAGUUUUCGUUGUUAAAGGCCACGAAAAGAAAGUUUGUAAAUUGAAGAGUGCAAUUUAUGUCCUAAAAUAAUCUUUAAGACAGUGGUACCUGAGAUUUCAUAAAAUGGUUAUUUAAUUUUAUUUCACCAUGAUCGCUGAAGGCCAUAGAAUCUAUGAGAAGAAGUACGAUGAAAUAUUUGUAAUGCUUUCCUUAUACGUGGAUGAUAUUUAUUUGAUGAAAGUAGUUUUGAGUAUGUAAAAACUGUCAACUCAUGAAUUUUAAAUUCAUUUGAUAUGAACGAUAUGGGUGAAAUCGAUUAUAUAUUUGGGUGUUAAGAUCCAAAGAGAAUAUUCCAAGAAAUUUAUAAGUAUUUCAAGAACUUUUUACGUGGAACAACCUGUAGGUUUCAUUGUUAAAGUCUAAGAAAAGAAAGUUUGUAAAUUGAAAGAAUUAAUUUAUAGCCUAAAGAAAUCUUUAAGUCAGUGGUACCUGAGAUUUCAUAAGGAGGUGAUUUCAUUUGAUUUCACCAUGUUUGAUGAAGACAAUUGUAUGUAUGAGAAGAAGUCCAAUAAAAUGUUUGUAAUUCUUUUUCUAUGUGUGGAUGAUAUUUUAUUAGACGAAAGUAGUUUGGAGUACGUAAAAACUGUCAAUUCAUGGCUCUCAAAGUCAUUUGAUAUGAAUGAUAUUGGUGGAACAGACUAUAUAUUGGGUGUUAAGAUCCAAAGAGAUUAUUUGAAGAAAUUUUUAGUAUUCCUAUGAAAUUUUUGAGUUUAUCUCAAGAAACAUACAUAAAGGAAAUUUUGAAACAUUCUUGAUUGAAUAGUUGAAAAUCCAUGAGUGCUUCUGUUGCUAGAUGUAAAAAUUUAUGCCUUUAAAUAUGUUCGAAGAAUUAAAAAAAAAAAAAAAGACACAUCUCAAAUUCUAUAUCGUAGUGUUGUUGGGAGCUUGAAGUACUCUAUGAUGUGUACUCGCCCAAACAUUUGUUAUACUAUAGGUCUGGUUAGUAGCUAUCAAUUCAAUCCUGGCUCGGGUGAGACAGAGGUGUUUCCGUGAGCUUCAGAUCUUUGAGGAUGCAUGAUCUGAAAAGCAAACAAAUGAGAAUUAGAGGAAAAUUCAGGACCUUAGACUCUACAACUCAAAAAUAGAACAGAAGAAAGAUACUACGCAGAUUAUUUACUAUUUUAUAGUGGAUCUGAUUUAUCAUAAGAGGUUAUGCAAAUGUUGAUUAGAUUGGUGACCGAUAUGAUAGAAAAUCGACCUCUAGUUAUGCUUUAUUACUAAACGGUGGUGCUAUUUCAUGAAAAAGUAAAAAUAAAAAUGCACAACCCUUUCAACCAUGGAAUCUAAAUUCGUGGCUUGUGCAUCCAUAGUACAAAAAAUCUAUUUAGUUGAAAAGAUUCUUUGAGUAUUUGAAUAUUGCAAAGAAUUUUAAGGGUCCGAUGAUUUUAUAUUGUGACAGUCAAGCAGUUAUCGCAUAUAUGCAGGAUCAUAAUUAUCAUAGGAAGAUCAAAAUGUUGAGAUCAAGUAUAACUUUGUGAGAGACAUUGCUGUAGGUGGAGAAAUAAAUAACAAUACAUUCUUACAUGAGAAAUGAUAGUUGAUCCCUUAACAACGAUGACAUCCAGAGACUUGUUUGAGAAAUAUCUUAUGACUCUAAUUUUGUGUAGGAUAUGAUUGCAUUUUUUAAUGUAAAAUAAAUUGAUUGUUAUUACUUUCUCAUCAACGAACACUUUUGUGUUGAAUUUAAGUUUAUAUCUCACAUGCAUGUGAUAAAGUCUGUCAAACAAGUCGCGAGAUUAAAUCUCUCACACAAAUAAUCGCCUCAUAUAUUGAGAACAUAAAGAGAAGAAUUCCACCACCAUGUUAUGACUUGUUUUGUUAGCCAGAUAUGAGUCUCUCUAAGAAGAUGGAUUUGAGGAUCAUUUAAGAGAGAAACUAAAGUUAGAUAUCUAGAUGUGUCUAGACCAAGAUCUAUAUGUUCUUGAAU